AGCUGUUUGCCAACACUCUGGUGCCGGGUUUUUCUGCUCUAUUCGGUUCCUAUUUUGGUGCAAACUAGAUCAACAUCUGCUUACUACUCACCGAGAUCACCUCUAACAGAGUCUGACUUGCUUGAUAGUACUCCAUUCUUCGGUUUGGAGGAUCCCUCGCUUUUCUCUCUUCUGUAGUUGGUUUUAUUGGUCCAUUUCAUUAGCAUACAU
rnacentral:snoRNA from 1 species